rnacentral:rRNA from 1 species
CGUAGGGUGCAAGCGUUAAUCGGAAUUACUGGGCGUAAAGCGUGCGCAGGCGGUUUUGUAAGUCUGUUGUGAAAUCCCCGGGCUCAACCUGGGAAUGGCAAUGGAGACUGCAAGGCUAGAGUUUGGCAGAGGGGGGUAGAAUUCCACGCGUAGCAGUGAAAUGCGUAGAUAUGUGGAGGAACACCGAUGGCGAAGGCAGCCCCCUGGGUCAAAACUGACGCUCAUGCACGAAAGCGUGGGGAGCAAACAGGAUUAGAUACCCUGGUAGUCCACGCCCUAAACGAUGUCUACUAGUUGUCGGGUCUUAAUUGACUUGGUAACGCAGCUAACGCGUGAAGUAGACCGCCGUGGGGAGUACGGUCGCAAGAAUU